rnacentral:rRNA from 1 species
CCUACGGGGGGCAGCAGUGGGGAAUAUUGCACAAUGGGCGCAAGCCUGAUGCAGCGACGCCGCGUGAGCGAUGAAGGCCUUCGGGUCGUAAAGCUCUGUCCUAAGGGAAGAAUAAUGACGGUACCUUAGGAGGAAGCCCCGGCUAACUACGUGCCAGCAGCCGCGGUAAUACGUAGGGGGCGCGCGUUAUCCGGAAUCACUGGGCGUAAAGGUUGCGUAGGCAGCACUGCAAGCCAGGCGUGAAAUCCCUCGGAUCAACCUAGGUCAGCUCUUGAAACUGUAGGGCUUGUGUGCAGGUGAGGAGAGCGGAAUUCCUUGUGUAGCGGUGAAAUGGGUAGAUAUUUGGAGGAAUACCAGUGGCGAAGGCGGCUCUCUGGAUGGGAACUGACGCUGAGGCACGAAAGGGUGGGGAUCGAACAGGAUUAGAUACCCGGGUAGUC